rnacentral:lncRNA from 1 species
GGAACCUCCAGAUAAGUCCACACAAGUCGAACCAAGUCUAGACAAGACUUCUUAAGCCUAAAUCCUUCCGAAUACCCUCAAAUUCUUGGAAGCUCUCUAAAGUUCUACCGAGUCUCUAGAAAAAUCUUUGAGUCACCGAGUCUCCACUCAUGAGCUCAGAGUACCCUACCAGUGGUGAUCCACCCAAAGAGUCUCUCAUAGUUCUAGACUGAGUGACAUCCCCUUGAGACUAUAUCUCUCCCAAACAUAGACCGUUCCUCUCUCCCACAAACUCAAGACUUCCACUCACAUGCACCGCUGAUUUGAUCUCAUCUCCUUCUACUUCUUUUAGAACUUCCUUUGUUCCAUCGAGGUAGACUAACGCGUCAGAGGGUCCUCACCAGAAAACCCUCGGCAAGCGGACUUCCUUUGCUUUUGGUGUUUCAGCAUACUCAAAGAGGUUGAAACAUAGUUUUGAACCUCUUCGAUAGCUUUCCGACUUUCAGCCAGCUCCUAGAGUCCCUAGGUUGCCACUUACCCCCUCUUAUCCUUAGCUUAAGCUCAUCGGCCUGAGCUAAAUCGAUCCUCGGUGGCAACAAAACCCAUACCCUUAGCCUAAGUGGCAGGGAGUAAUAUUAUUCGAGUGCUUGGUGGGAUAGGGUUUUUCCUUGAAAGAACACCAUCACAUAAGUUUAGGUUGAAGUUCUUGACCUUGAGAGGGCUUGUGUUUCACUUUGUGUAGGUUUCCUCCAUGCCCCACGCAGAACAACAAAAGACAACCUCCACUCGGUGAUAGUUGGACUAUAAUAGCAGAAUGACCUCCACAAUUGUGAGAUCUGUAUCUUAUCAUAUCCCAACAAGCUCAAGAACGUGCGAAACAGUUAUCCCCAACCUCCCUCGCAUGUUCUUAAUGCCUUGGGAUCCAACCCUCAUCUACAUAAACUCUUUCCUAGGGAACCUCUAGAUAAGUCCACACAAGUCGAAUCAAGUCUAGACAAGACUUCCUAAGCCUAAAUCCUUCCGAAUACCCUCAAAUUCUUGGAAGCUCUCUAAAGUUCUAUCGAGUCUCUAGAAAAAUCUUUGAGUCACCGAGUCUCCACUCAUGAGCUCAGAGUACCCUACCAGUGGUGAUCCACCCAAAGGGUCUCUCAUAGUUCUAGACUGAGUGACAUCCCCUUGAGACUAUAUCUCUCCUAAACAUAGACCGUUCCUCUCUCCCACAGACUCAAGACUUCCACUCACAUGCACCGUUGAUUUGAUCUCAUCUCCUUCUACUUCUUUUAGAACUUCCUUUGUUCCAUCGAGGUAGACUAAUGCAUCAGAGGGUCCUCACUAGAAAACCCUCGGCAAGCGGACUUCCUUUGCUUUUGGUGUUUCAGCAUGCUCAAAAAAGUUGAAACAUAGUUUUGGACCUCUCCGACAGCUUUCCGACUUUCAACCAGCUCCUAGAGUCCCUAGGUUGCCAAUUACCGCCUCUUAUCCUUAGCUUCAGCUCAUCGGCCUGAGCUAAAUCGACCCUCGGUGGCAACAAAACCCAUACCCCUAGCCUAAGUAGCAGGGAGUAAUAUUAUUCGAGUGCUUGGUGGGAUAGGGUUUCCCCUUGAAAGAACACCAUCACAUAAGUUUAGGUUGAAGUUCUUGACCUUGAGAGGGCUUGUGUUUCACUUUGUGUAGGUUUCCUCCAUGCCCCACACAAAACAACAAAAGACAACCUACAAAUCAACAAUAUUAGCUAUUUUAUUCAAAAGCAAAUUAAAGCAAAAUUCUGCCAAAAUAACCCCACUCCAACAACCAAGACUAGGAAUUUGAAAAUAAUACAUUAAACAAAAUAGAGAUAAGCAAAAUAGUGCAAAGCCCAAGGGUAAUGAAAGGAAACCAGAAAAAUCCUAUCUUGAUCUUAGCCAAGCUUAUCCCUUUAAAUAUAUAUAAGAAAGUCAUCCAAUAUGGACUGACUCCAAGAUAGAGCUUUGCAGGAAGCAAUAACCCCCAAUAUCACUCCAAAUGUCCCCAUCCCACAGUUUUCCCAAAUGCAGUUUUACAAGCAUGACCAUAAU